rnacentral:lncRNA from 1 species
AUGUGCUACAACACCCAAAAUAUAAUUGCUACAGUAACCCUUAUUCACAUCUGUAUCCAUAAUUGUACUUUUUACUUUUCAGUGUACCUUGAGGAACUAUCUCUGAAAGUUACCACCCACUUCUAUCUCUGUGUUGUGUCCUGGCAAAGUCAACAAGAGAAUUUUCCUGGAAGUCGUGCCCAUCUGUGACUUCACAUUUCUCACAGCCAUGGAAAUAACUAUGUGUUGACACAUUGGCUCUGCCUAAUAUUUAAUGGGGUGAAGAAAUGCUCCUGUGAGUAUAUGUUGUCUUAUUCUUUCUCCACCAGGAGAUCAGUUUCCUGUCAACAUACAGGAAACUAGAAAGUUGCAGCCUAAUAAUAUAGCUGCUGACAGGAAGAUUGUUGUGUUGACUGCUUUUCCACAUUUCUCAAUUGGAUAAUGUUGUUGAAGGAUGACUGCUUAUUUUAUUUAUGAUUCUGGAUCAACUAAAAGGCUACCUGACUGUAUGGAGCAGAAGUUACAUAUAAAAUCCUUGUGUGAAGGUAAGUUCAAUUCUACCUAAAAUGUGGUACAAUGGCAGGUUACUUUUUUUUUGGUAUUAAAUUCUUUUAUUGGUACAUUGUAGGUAUACAACACAAUUACAUUUCUCAUUGGGAAUUGUACCUUUAUAUAAUGCAUCUU